GCUUAGUACCACUUAUUUAAUCUGCCCUUAGGUGAAGGAUAAGCACGGAAAACUGUGUCUAAAACUUCAUAGGAGUUUAGGGCUGGAAUGCUUUUACUCUGAAACUUUACCCUAAGGAUAAAACGGCGGUUGAUUAGCUGGUUGGGGGGGUAACUGCCUACCAAGGCAAUGAUCAAUAGGGCCUCUUACCGAAGUACCCCCAAAAAGGAAUCUAAAACACUAUUCCUACCUCUACGGAGGGCACCACCUGCAAUUUUUUUACAAUGCACGCAAGUGUGAUAAAGCGAGCCAAAGUGCUAUCAAUUUUAUGGGUAGCUUUUAUUCAGUUAAAAAAACUGGAUAAAUAAGGACGGGAAAAAAUCGGUGCCACCCCCCGCGGUAAUACCGACAGUUCAAGUUGCAUCCACUUUUAUUGGGCCUAAAACAUCCGUAGCUUGUAACUUAAGUCUCUUGUGAAAUCUCACGUCUCAAGCGGGAGGCUUGCAGGAAAUACUGAGUUGCUAAAGACCGGUAAACGUAAGGAGUACGGGCAAGGUAGUGGUUAAAUACUUUAAUCUUGCUUGGACUAACAAUUUACCGAAGGCCCCUUACAAGGACGGAUCUGACAGUGAGGGAUGAAGGCCAGGGGCGCAAAACGAAUUAAAUACCCGUGUAGUCCUGGCAGUAAACACUGUACACUAAACAUCGGGCCCUCUUGGGAAGAAUUCGGUGCUGA
rnacentral:rRNA from 1 species